rnacentral:rRNA from 1 species
AGAACGAACGCUGGCGGCAGGCUUAACACAUGCAAGUCGAGCGCCCCGCAAGGGGAGCGGCAGACGGGUGAGUAACGCGUGGGAAUCUACCCAUCACUACGGAACAACUCCGGGAAACUGGAGCUAAUACCGUAUACGUCCUUCGGGAGAAAGAUUUAUCGGUGAUGGAUGAGCCCGCGUUGGAUUAGCUAGUUGGUGGGGUAAUGGCCUACCAAGGCGACGAUCCAUAGCUGGUCUGAGAGGAUGAUCAGCCACAUUGGGACUGAGACACGGCCCAAACUCCUACGGGAGGCAGCAGUGGGGAAUAUUGGACAAUGGGCGAAAGCCUGAUCCAGCCAUGUCGCGUGAGUGAUGAAGGCCCUAGGGUGUAAAGCUCUUUCAACGGUGAAGAUAAUGACGGUAACCGUAGAAGAAAGCCCCCGGACUAACUUACGCGCCAGCAAGCCGC